GAGUGGCGGGCGGGUGAGUAACACGUGGGUAACCUGCCCUAAAGUGGGGGAUAACAUUUGGAAACAGAUGCUAAUACCGCAUAAAACCUAGCACCGCAUGGUGCAAGGUUGAAAGAUGGUUUCGGCUAUCACUUUAGGAUGGACCCGCGGUGCAUUAGUUAGUUGGUGAGGUAAAGGCUCACCAAGACCGUGAUGCAUAGCCGACCUGAGAGGGUAAUCGGCCACACUGGGACUGAGACACGGCCCAGACUCCUACGGGAGGCAGCAGUAGGGAAUCUUCCACAAUGGACGAAAGUCUGAUGGAGCAACGCCGCGUGAGUGAAGAAGGUUUUCGGAUCGUAAAACUCUGUUGUUGGAGAAGAACGUAUUUGAUAGUAACUGAUCAGGUAGUGACGGUAUCCAACCAGAAAGCCACGGCUAACUACGUGCCAGCAGCCGCGGUAAUACGUAGGUGGCAAGCGUUGUCCGGAUUUAUUGGGCGUAAAGCGAGCGCAGGCGGUUUCUUAAGUCUGAUGUGAAAGCCUUCGGCUCAACCGAAGAAGUGCAUCGGAAACUGGGAAACUUGAGUGCAGAAGAGGACAGUGGAACUCCAUGUGUAGCGGUGAAAUGCGUAGAUAUAUGGAAGAACACCAGUGGCGAAGGCGGCUGUCUGGUCUGUAACUGACGCUGAGGCUCGAAAGCAUGGGUAGCAAACAGGAUUAGAUACCCUGGUAGUCCAUGCCGUAAACGAUGAGUGCUAGGUGUUGGAGGGUUUCCGCCCUUCAGUGCCGCAGCUAACGCAUUAAGCACUCCGCCUGGGGAGUACGACCGCAAGGUUGAAACUCAAAGGAAUUGACGGGGGCCCGCACAAGCGGUGGAGCAUGUGGUUUAAUUCGAAGCAACGCGAAGAACCUUACCAGGUCUUGACAUCCUUUGACCACUCUAGAGAUAGAGCUUUCCCUUCGGGGACAAAGUGACAGGUGGUGCAUGGUUGUCGUCAGCUCGUGUCGUGAGAUGUUGGGUUAAGUCCCGCAACGAGCGCAACCCUUAUUACUAGUUGCCAGCAUUUAGUUGGGCACUCUAGUGAGACUGCCGGUGACAAACCGGAGGAAGGUGGGGACGACGUCAAAUCAUCAUGCCCCUUAUGACCUGGGCUACACACGUGCUACAAUGGAUGGUACAACGAGUCGCGAGACCGCGAGGUUUAGCUAAUCUCUUAAAACCAUUCUCAGUUCGGAUUGUAGGCUGCAACUCGCCUACAUGAAGCCGGAAUCGCUAGUAAUCGCGGAUCAGCAUGCCGCGGUGAAUACGUUCCCGGGCCUUGUACACACCGCCCGUCACACCAUGAGAGUUUGUAACACCCAAAGCCGGUGAGGUAACCUUCGGGAGCCAGCCGU
rnacentral:rRNA from 1 species